GAACCCCUUCUUGAAAUCUUAUUUUAUUUUAUUUUGCGUACAGAAUUUUGAAACUUUUGACUUAGCAGUAGACCAUAGUUCACCCUAAUUGACCAAGCAUGGUCUUUCCAGGCUCACUAGAUCCUCCCACUUACUCUCUUUCUCCCUUCGGUUUCAUCGCGCUACUGCCCUGCACUACCAACGGGGUGGUGACACGUGGUCUAUUUUCCCCUCCUUUUUAUUCUUUCUUCUCUUUACAAAUCUCCCACCAUUUCCUAUCUUUCUAUUUUUCUUCUUCUCCACUACUAUCUAGCUCUCUUUUUCUUUCUAUUUCUUCCAAUCUUCCUACUGUAUCUCCACCGUGACACUCGAAAUCCAAUUUUCUUCUUAUUCUUUUCCCUCUUCUUUUCUUUCUCUUCUCCUUCUUUUCAUCACUUUCCUUGUACCCACGAUGCCUCUAUCUCCAACUAGGUCACCACCCUUUGGCAUUUGGGCAGCUUACACGUUGAUGGGAGACCGGGGUGAGGAUCUUUGGUUUUGGCUUGGAACGAAAAAUUUUGUGCGUGCAAGAACCAACAGUAAAAGCACUUGAAAACUCGGACUUCUAUUUUCUCUCAUUG
rnacentral:lncRNA from 1 species